CAGCCGCCGCGGUAAUACCGGCGGCCCGAGUGGCGGUCACUAUUAUUGGGCUUAAAGCGUCCGUAGCCGGGUUGGGAAGUCCUCCGGGAAAUCUGGCCGCUUAACGGUCAGAAUGCCGGAGGAUACUCCCAGCCUAGGGAGCGGGAGAGGCCGAGGGUAUUCCCGGGGUAGGGGUGAAAUCCUAUAAUCCCGGGGGGACCACCUGUGGCGAAGGCGCUCGGCUGGAACGCGUCCGACGGUGAGGGACGAAGGCCAGGGGAGCAAACCGGAUUAGAUACCCGGGUAGUCCUGGCUGUAAACGAUGCGGACUUUGUGUCGGACAAGCUAUGAGCUUGUCCGGUGCCGGAGGGAAACCGUUAAGUCCGCCGCCUGGGGAGUACGGCCGCAAGGCUGAAACUUAAAGGAAUUGGCGGG
rnacentral:rRNA from 1 species